rnacentral:rRNA from 1 species
GUUUAAAGGGUGCGUACGCGGGUAUUUAAGUCAGUGGUGAAAUCCUAGAGCUUAACUCUAGAACUGCCAUUGAUACUAUUUAUCUUGAAUAUUGUGGAGAUAAGCGGAAUAUGUCAUGUAGCGGUGAAAUGCUUAGAUAUGACAUAGAACACCUAUUGCGAAGGCAGCUUACUACGCAUAUAUUGACGCUGAGGCACGAAAGCGUGGGGAUCAAACAGGAUUAGAUACCCUGGUAGUCCACGCCCUAAACGAUGGAUACUAGCUGUUCGGACGCAAGUUUGAGUGGCUAAGCGAAAGUGAUAAGUAUCCCACCUGGGGAGUACGGGCGCAAGCCUGAAACUCAAAGGAAUUGACGGGGGCCCGCACAAGCGGUGGAGCAUGUGGUUUAAUUCGAUGAUACGCGAGGAACCUUACCAGGGCUUAAAUGUAGGUUGACAGGCUUGGAAACAGGUUUUUCUUCGGACAACUUACAAGGUGCUGCAUGGUUGUCGUCAGCUCGUGCCGUGAGGUGUCAGGUUAAGUCCUAUAACGAGCGCAACCCCUGUCGUUAGUUGCCAGCGAGUCAUGUCGGGAACUCUAAAGAAACUGCCGUCGUAAGACGUGAGGAAGGAGGGGAUGAUGUCAAGUCAUCAUGGCCUUUAUGCCCAGGGCUACACACGUGCUACAAUGGGAAGGACAAAGGGCUGCCACUUAGCGAUAAGGAGCUAAUCCCAAAAACCUUCUCUCAGUUCAGAUUGGAGUCUGCAACUCGACUCCAUGAAGCUGGAAUCACUAGUAAUC